rnacentral:rRNA from 1 species
AGUCGAGGGGUAGUAUAGCAAUAUACGAGACCGGCGCACGGGUGCGUAACGCGUAUGCAACCUACCUUUUACAGGGGAAUAGCCCAGAGAAAUUUGGAUUAAUGCCCCAUGGUAUAUACCUUUCGCAUGUUAGGUAUAUUAAAGUUCCAACGGUAAAAGAUGGGCAUGCGUCCUAUUAGCUGGAUGGUAAGGUAACGGCUUACCAUGGCUACGAUAGGUAGGGGUCCUGAGAGGGAGAUCCCCCACACUGGUACUGAGACACGGACCAGACUCCUACGGGAGGCAGCAGUGAGGAAUAUUGGACAAUGGGCGCAAGCCUGAUCCAGCCAUGCCGCGUGCAGGAAGACGGUCCUAUGGAUUGUAAACUGCUUUUGUACGGGAAGAAACACUCCUACGUGUAGGAGCUUGACGGUACCGUAAGAAUAAGGAUCGGCUAACUCCGUGCCAGCAGCCGCGGUAAUACGGAGGAUCCAAGCGUUAUCCGGAAUCAUUGGGUUUAAAGGGUCCGUAGGCGGUUUGAUAAGUCAGUGGUGAAAGCCCAUCGCUCAACGAUGGAACGGCCAUUGAUACUGUCAGACUUGAAUUACUGGGAAGUAACUAGAAUAUGUAGUGUAGCGGUGAAAUGCUUAGAUAUUACAUGGAAUACCAAUUGCGAAGGCAGGUUACUACCAGUGUAUUGACGCUGAUGGACGAAAGCGUGGGGAGCGAACAGGAUUAGAUACCCUGGUAGUCCACGCCGUANACGAUGGAUACUAGCUGUUCGGGGCAACCUGAGUGGCUAAGCGAAAGUGAUAAGUAUCCCACCUGGGGAGUACGUUUCGCAGAAUGAAACUCAAAGGAAUUGAC